rnacentral:lncRNA from 1 species
GAUAGACUUGUUUUAUAAAAUGUUACAUCAUAGCAGUGAAAAAUACGACAAUGGGUAUAUAUUUUUCCUCAUGUACUUUGUGAAUGAAGGAAAUUUUGAAGUUAAAAUUUGAUGACAUUAUUAUCCUCCACUCCUUUUCCCCUUCAGUCCUUUCCAUAAACCCUCUCUCUCAAUUCAAGACUUCUAUUUUUUAUUUUUUUUUUUUACUUCUAUUUUUUAAAUUGUUAUUAUAUACAUAUCUAUGUGUUUUGAAUAUAUAAAUACAACCUGGUCAGUCUGUAUAAAGUUACUUCUUUGUAUAUGAUGGCAGAGUUUAUUUAAAACAAAAAUCACCAUUUAAUAAUGAAAUGGGCACAUUUUUGAAGUGCUAUUUACUUUGGUGUAACAAUGGUUAGUGACACUUUGUCUUGUCAGAACAAAAAGCCUGUAGUGGCUGAGUAAAGGGUAUUUCCUACAAAAAUAAAAUGCUCGAAUUUCCAAUAGUUUCAGAUUAUGAAUUACACUUAAGUCAAGUAGUAUUAUUUAAAAUAAAGAUCAACUCUUUCAGGAAUCCUCUGAAAAUAAAAACACAAGAAGCUUGAUUGGUUGGUUAGCUGAAGCAACCAAUGAGCACAUUGCUAUCAGCUGUGGUUAACUCCAGAAGCUCUCCCUCCAUCUUCAUGACCAUGUGUGUGAGCUCAAAUACUUUCAGUGGUUUGUCAGAAUACACUCUGUUCCAUCGCUAAAUAUUUCUCAUAUUCACUUGCCUAGAAUAACAAGCUGCAGGCCUGAGGGUUCUUCCAAGUAUGUGAAUUCCUGUGGCUUUGUUUUACUUUAAUACUUUUGGAUUUUGUAUGUAAAAGCAGGUGUGUGUCUGACUGCCUGUUUGUCUGCAUAUGUAUUAUUCUAACUAUUUCAUUUAUAAGUUAACUUUUUUUUUCAGUUAGAAAUAACACUUCUUGGGCAAGUGUUUUAGAGCCUUGAAAUGAGACAUACUAUAACUCUUAUUGAAAAAUAAUUUAUCAGUUCAUAUUACUGAAUCAUGCCUUAGUUAAGAAACCAAAAUAUUAUCUUUAGAAAAAUAACAAUCUCAGGUUUAAAGUGUCUCUUUUUUUUAACACUGCAAGAAAUCUUAAGUGGGUCCUUAUAUAACAUGUGAAUAUUGCAUUGUUAUUUUAGACUUGUGAUAAGAAAUCAUCUUUUGGGUUAAGAGUUUAUAUGGAAUAUGAAUUCCUGUGGUUAGGCUUGCUGGUAACUUACAGCAAGACUAAUAGAGUGAGUGUGUGUGUAUGUGUGUGUGUAAAAGGUAGCUCUUUUAUGGAAAGCCAUUGUGAAUUUUGCCUUGUAGUUUUCUCUAGAACUAUCAAUUCAGAUCCACAUAUUUAUAUGAGGUUUUAAAAUAACAGUAUAUUAGAUUUGGCUACUACUUUCUCCUUCCCUCAACUGACAUCUGUAUGAGGAUCAGCCUUUGGAGAGGACUGAACCAUAGCCAUAAACUACUUUGACUAUCAGGCUAUGUAGUAGUUGAGAUCCACCGACCUGGGCAAUAUAGAUGGCUGAGCUCUGCCCUAGCAACUCAACUUAUGCGGCAGCUGUACCAUCCUCUGGCAUAGUUUUCAAGUCUCUGCAGUGUUGCUCUCUCCAGCUGCUAGGAGGGAAAUUGGUUAUGAAAAAUCAUUUAUGUAUUUGGCUCUUAAAAUUUUCACAUAAGGAAGAAGUUUGUCUCAAUGCUAUCAUUAUACAGGAGAUGUCAAAAUUUAUGUAAUGCCAACCUGAGCAGCCACCUGCCAAACAGUAAGGUAUAAACAAAUAUUCAAGGGAUAUAGAAGCAAAGGUCUCUUCUAGCUUUAAAUUCAUAAGACAUGACAAAAUCAAUUACAAAUGUGUUUCAAAAAGUGCUACUUUAUCAAAAUCACAGACAAUGUAUUUUUACAAAAUAUUUUCCUUGUUUAAUAUUCUACUUCUCAAGUACCUGUACUUGCAUUACAGAAUACAAUAAAAUAAUCAGAAUUCUAGUGGCUGCUACUGUAUCCCCAAAAGUUCUAUCCAAAACUAAAUAAGAAUUAGUUUUCAAUUUUAUGUUGUUUUGACUCGUCCAACAGAUUGAUGAAAGAAAAAUCUUGCUGUUUUAAGUUUUAAAUCUGGAGAGUUGGUGAAAAUUCAGGGGAUAGCUAAAACUCUUUCAUACUGUCUUGUUAGGACUCUUUGCACCACAGAAAGAAUAGAGGGCAGAUAAAUAUUCCCCCAGAAGGAACACAAAAUAACUUUUGGACCCUGAUCCAAAAGCACAGAGAGGAAUUUCCCCUCCCUGCUUUUGUCUCUCCUUGGCCUAGUCUAUCUACUUUUAAAAGCAGAAUUUUGCUUUCCCAAAAUGUACCAGACAGGAAUUUGUUCAAAUUCCUCAAAACCAAGCCAGGAAACUCAGAAGUUCCAGGCAUUCGUGGCAGGGUGAGGAGAGGCUGUCUGUGAAAACAAGCAUGAGUCAUUGCAACAUGGCUGCAGGCUUGCCCUCCUGGGCCAACUCAGGGAUGUGGCUCAGAUUUGUGAGCCACACUUGCUUUGUUUUAAAACAAAAGGCUAGUGUGAGUGGAUUUUCAGGAUAUUGAUACAGAAUCAAAGCCUAGAAAGGUCCUGCAUUUUAAAAGAACAAUAGUUCUUUUAUUGGUAUCUGUCAGAACAUUCCAACUCGAAUUCACUGCCAGGAAAUAUCCUGGUUUGAUAUGAUUGAAUGGAGCCCAGACUACCUCCGGUCUUUUAUCCUAAGGUAUAAGUUAGUUAAUUGUUUUCUGUGAUACAUUCAUGAUCCCGUAUGACUCAAGACAAAACCUAAGGCAAGCAUGGCCUCAAGCAAGAGUAUCCCAUGACCCUUUAAACUUUACUAACUCAUUGCUGGGUAUUUGAUCUGUGCCCAUACAGCAGUAGCAAAUGCAUUUAAGUUUAAGAGAAUUAGAAGAUGCACUUGCCACAUUAGGAACGUAAUUGCUAAAUAUCCAUCAGUGUUAAGAAGGCAGGAUGUGAACAUAGUGACCAGACAAUAGUUUUGACAAACAUUUGGUUCUAUUUCCUUAGUAGAUAUGGAAGUUAAGGUGCUCUCUUUGCUAAUUUCAUUGAAUGAAUUUGGAAUACAGGCUCAUUAGACCUUUUCUGUCAGUACAUCAGAAAUUAGUAUUAGUAAUCUUUCCAGUAAGACACUGCAAACAUUUUCUUGUAUUUUUAAAUAGUGGUUGUUACAGAUCAAGCAACUGAUUUAAAAAUUGAUUUGUAAGGUACAAUACUGACAGGCAGACACACACACACACAAU